UACGAAGGGGGCUAGCGUUGUUCGGAAUCACUGGGCGUAAAGGGCGCGUAGGCGGCUUUGUAAGUCGGGGGUGAAAGCCUGUGGCUCAACCACAGAAUUGCCUUCGAUACUGCAUGGCUUGAGACCGGAAGAGGUAAGUGGAACUGCGAGUGUAGAGGUGAAAUUCGUAGAUAUUCGCAAGAACACCAGUGGCGAAGGCGGCUUACUGGUCCGGUUCUGACGCUGAGGCGCGAAAGCGUGGGAGCAAACAGG
rnacentral:rRNA from 1 species